rnacentral:tRNA from 1 species
GCCCCAUUGGCUUAGUGGCAUAGCGUCUGUCUUGUAAACAGAAGGUCGCUGGUUCGAUUCCAGCAUGGGGCA